UCUGCCCUAGCCCCGCCAGCGCGUUGGGGUUUAACGCGUAUUUCUCGUGCCCGAAAAGCCUCCUCGUCUCCCAAGAGCUCUCCAGACACCACAGCCACGUUAUCCACGGCCUCUUGCACCAUAGAGGGGAAACAGACCAUGGUGAACCCAGGCAGCAGCUCGCAGCCUCCCCCGGUCACCAGUGGCUCCCUCUCGUGGAAAAGAUGUGCAGGCUGCGGGGGGAAGAUUGCCGAUCGCUUCUUGCUCUAUGCCAUGGAUAGCUAUUGGCACAGCCGAUGCCUGAAGUGCUCCUGCUGCCAGGCCCAGCUGGGAGAAAUUGGUACGUCCUGCUACACUAAGAGCGGCAUGAUCCUGUGCAGAAACGACUACAUCAGGUUAUUUGGAAAUAGUGGAGCUUGCAGUGCUUGUGGGCAGUCAAUCCCUGCUAGUGAGCUGGUUAUGAGGGCACAAGGGAAUGUGUAUCACCUUAAGUGUUUUACGUGCUCUACCUGCCGGAAUCGCCUGCUCCCGGGAGACAGGUUUCACUACAUCAAUGGCAGUUUAUUCUGCGAACAUGAUAGACCUACAGCUCUCAUCAAUGGCCAUUUGAAUUCACUUCAGAGCAAUCCACUACUGCCAGACCAGAAGCGCUUGAGUGCUAAAGUAUAAUAUGACUUGCGCUAGCAGAGUAGGAAACAAUUCUGAUCAACAGUUGUCUUGCACCCCUGCUAGAACUGGACAGUUUUAAGCUCUAUUUUAAUCUGCCUAAUAAGUCCCACAGCUAUCCAAGUCUGCUAAAAGGUCAGAGUACUGCAGAAUGCGUGCCUUCAUCUCAAACUUUGUUCAUCACAGAUGGAUCCCAUGUCUCCAGUAGACAAGUCACCUUUGUAGCUAGCAUCAGUGCCAGCUCCAUGCCAUUGCACCUUCUUUACUCUUGGUUGCCCUUCCCACAUUUAUUGGUGUAUUGAAAUGACUGAAAAUGAACAUUAAGGACUCCAUGAAUCUGGGCUAAUGGGAGACUGUAGAGGAAAUGAGAAAAGAUCCACCGGAGGACAGCAACUUUGGGUGGGAGGGGUGGGGAAAAUGACUAAUGAAGCUAAUUAAAGUAAGCCUUCAAGUCUGCUUUCUACCCUAAUUAACAAUUAGCAGGGCACUGGCCAGAAUUUGUACCCUGUGUUUUACCUUAACAACAUUCUCUUUGCUCUUUGUAUAUUUAAGUGUUGUAAGGAAAUGUGUUUCAAAACUCGACAUGAGCUAAAGGAAAGAUGGGGCUCUUGUGAUAUUCUAUCACAAACACUUUUAUUGUAUCUCUGUAAAAUACAAUGUAUGUAUGCAUGUAAGUGUUUUUGUCCUAAUGUUGCUACUUCCCAUGGCAAAAAAGAAAAAAGGAAAAAAAAAUCAAGCUGAUAGCAGCUACUGUGUAGAAAUUUUCACCUACUCCUAAUUUGCUGAAUGAAGAAGAAAAAAAAUCUUUUAUUUGUGAUACUUUCAGAGACAUUUGCUCUAGUAUGGUGUAUUUAAAUAAUAAAAACUUAAAAUGAAAACAUC